CUUGUUCGGUAUGUUAUUAUAUCUUAAUCUUGAAUGUCUUGUACUUCAUAACAAGUUUAAAUAUAAUUUCAAAUUUUCAACAACACCAUUCUGGAUAAGAAAAUUUUAUUUCUGCUGUUUUCUUCAAUUAGACACUACAAAUGUCAAAUCAAAUAAUAUUAUAAAAGACUUCACACACACAAUAAUAAAAAUAACUAAACUUCACGAAUAAUAAAUGAUUUCCAAUUCUUUCUGCAUUUAUACAUGCACAAGGAAGGAAUACACUAUGCACAGAGCUAAAAUAUAUAUAAAGAACAAAUAUUCUGAGUAUUCAGCAUUACUCAAAAGUGAAAUCUUAUCACCACUGUCUUGAAGCAAGUUUCCUAACUUAAUUUAAAAGAAAAGUAGCUUAUACGAAUUUUUAAGAGAAGCUGCACACUCAGAAUAGUAAUGUUAAUAUUCUUAAAACAGAACUGCAUAUCCAUCCUUUUGAUAUAUAUGAAAAUAUCAAAGAAAGAAUAUCUUCUAUCAUCAAAAAUAUUAAACAAGGUCUUUUUCAUUAUUAUGCAAAAAAUAAUAAUUGCAUUGCAAAUUUAUAUCCUUGUGUAUUAAAACUUUUUACAUAACAAUUUGACUAGAAGGUACAGAACAUAUACAGAUUAUAAGUUCAAAAUUUACUUCAUACAAAGGUGCAUUUUUAUGCAUGAAAAUGAGUUCAAAUUUUUAAAACUUAAAUUUUUAAUAACUUCCAGAAUUUCUUAAAUUUUAAAAUCAAAUUAAAAAUAAAGUUAUGUAAAUGACCAAAAGUGUCUUAAGAUAAUCAAAUUCCUUAAUUUUUUUUAUUUGAUAUAUGUCCACAUACACACAUAAAAUAAAUUUGUACCAUAAAAAGGGCAAAAAAAGUGGGGAAUUUUUUUUUUACAUAGUAUACAUAAACAUUCACAUUUUCAAUAAAUGAUGAUGAGAAUGAAAAAUGAUUGAUAAAAAUACGUGAGCAUCAAAAUCCUGCUUGAAUAUCAUUAAAGCAUUUAAAUUAAUUCUAUAAUACACAAGAGUUGAAUAUGACCAUUUUGCUUCAGAUAUCUGUAACAGAAUGCCGAUAGAACUACAUUAAUAAGUUGUCUUUAAAACAUUGCACAUGUUCUUUUUUUUUUUUUUUUUUUUCUUUGCAAAAAAUGCAUUUUUUUUUCCAUUUCUAAACUCACAAACUUUAUAAAAUAGAUAAAUAUACUUAAACUUUGAGAUUUAGUUCUAUUAAGCAUAACUAAUCUUUAGAGAGCAUACACAGUCUUACGUUAUGUGCAGCUGAAUGUCUUUAGCUUAAAUGGCAUUCCUGUUAAUAAACUAAAACCCAGGAGAAUGUCUUCACAAAGCAGGGUAGGCAAAUUUCUUCCAUAGCAAAAAAAUUGUGUGAAAGAACUGUUUCUUUCACCCAAGUAGAAGAAAUGGAAGAAACUAAUUUUUGAACUUAUUUACAUUAUUAUAUCCCUAUUGCAUUCAUAAGUAGCACUAUUAUAUUACUAACCAAAAUAUUUUCAUUUUAUAAAUAAUUUUACUACUCCCAUUUGUACCUUUACAAUAACCUUUUCUUCGUAAUAUAUAUAUGAAUGUACUUUUGUGUACUCGCUAUGAGAUUUACUUUCACAUUUGUAAAUUUAGACAGAUUCUAAAACUGAAUUUCAAUUUAUAUCAAUGACAUAGUUUAAAAAAAAAAAAAAAAAAAAAAAAAAAAAAAAA
rnacentral:lncRNA from 1 species